UCAGACGAUGCGUCAUGCAUAUCAAUAAGCGGAGGAAAAGAAACUAACAAGGAUUCCCUUAGUAACGGCGAGUGAAGCGGGAAGAGCUCAAAUUUGAAAUCUUCAAGGUUUUACCUUGACGAAUUGUAGUUUAAAGAAGUGUUUUCUGCUGAAGUUUUGGUAAAAGUUCUUUGGAAUAGGACAUCAUCAGAGGGUGAGAAUCCCGUCUAUGAUUGCGACAUUAUUUUCAGCUUUGUGAUACACUUUCAAAGAGUCGGGUUGUUUGGGAAUGCAGCCCAAAACGGGAGGUAAAUUUCUUCUAAGGCUAAAUAUUGGCGAGAGACCGAUAGCGAACAAGUACCGUGAGGGAAAGAUGAAAAGAACUUUGAAAAGAGAGUUAAACAGUACGUGAAAUUGUCAAAAGGGAAGCGUUUAACACCAGUGUUGUUUUCUGAAAAUCAACCUCUGUUAGCUUUAUGCAUGUUUGUUUAGACCUAAUCAGCUAUCUUUCAUGUUCUAUUGUUUGCAGUGGUGCACUUUUCAGUUUACAGGUCAACAUCAGUUUUUUUUUACCGUAAAAAAGUUAAAGAAAGGUAGCUCAUGGCUCCGGUCGUGAGUGUUAUAGUCUUUUUCCUAUGCGGUAGGAGAGACUGAGGUCUGCAGUGUAGGCUAUUUGGCUAGAUACUCAGGUGCUAUGUGAUACCAUUUCAUAAACAACUUGUUGAUUAUGUUUUGUCUAUUGCAUACUCGCUUGUACUAUCAUACCUACGCUUAGGAUGUUGACUGAUAUGUAGUCGUA
rnacentral:rRNA from 1 species